rnacentral:snRNA from 1 species
GAUUGUGAAGGCAAUCUGGCUGUGACAUCUGUCACCCCAUUGAUUACCAUGGUUGAUUCGGCUGAUCUGGCUGGCUAGGCAAAUGUCCCCUUCCUCCCUCAACGCUCCAUGUGUGUCCCUCCCAAAGCUGCAUGCUCUGUCAAAGAGGACGACCCUCCCUGAUAGAGGAGGACUGGUCUUCAGUAUGCGAGUGGCUGUGCUCCCCCACUAGAACAUCCAAACAAGCUCUCAGGAUACAAAAUACACAGUAUGUGUAUAAUAUGUGCAGAUACAUGUGCGAUAUUUUAUGUUUGCAU